AUUGAACGCUGGCGGCAGGCCUAACACAUGCAAGUCGAGCGGAUGAAGGGAGCUUGCUCCUGGAUUCAGCGGCGGACGGGUGAGUAAUGCCUAGGAAUCUGCCUGGUAGUGGGGGAUAACGUCCGGAAACGGGCGCUAAUACCGCAUACGUCCUGAGGGAGAAAGUGGGGGAUCUUCGGACCUCACGCUAUCAGAUGAGCCUAGGUCGGAUUAGCUAGUUGGUGGGGUAAAGGCCUACCAAGGCGACGAUCCGUAACUGGUCUGAGAGGAUGAUCAGGCACACUGGGACUGAGACACGGUCCAGACUCCUACGGGAGGCAGCAGUGGGGAAUAUUGGACGAUGGGCGAAAGCCUGAUCCAGCCAUGCCGCGUGUGUGAAGAAGGUCUUCGGAUUGUAAAGCACUUUAAGUUGGGAGGAAGGGCAGUAAGUUAAUACCUUGCUGUUUUGACGUUACCAACAGAAUAAGCACCGGCUAACUUCGUG
rnacentral:rRNA from 1 species